GAUGAACGCUGGCGGCGUGCCUAAUACAUGCAAGUCGAGCGAACGGACGAGAAGCUUGCUUCUCUGAUGUUAGCGGCGGACGGGUGAGUAACACGUGGAUCACCUACCUAUAAGACUGGGAUAACUUCGGGAAACCGGAGCUAAUACCGGAUGAUAUUUUGAUCCGCAUGGUUCAAAAGUGAAAGACGGUCUUGCUGUCACUUCUAGAUGGAUCCGCGCUGCAUUAGCUAGUUGGUAAGGUAACGGCUUACCAAGGCAACGAUGCAUAGCCGACCUGAGAGGGUGAUCGGCCACACUGGAACUGAGACACGGUCCAGACUCCGACGGGAGGCAGCAGUAGGGAAUCUUCCGCAAUGGGCGAAAGCCUGACGGAGCAACGCCGCGUGAGUGAUGAAGGUCUUCGGAUCGGAAAACUCUGUUAGUAGGGAAGAACAUAUGUGUAAGUAACUGUGCACAUCUUGACGGUACCUAAUCAGAAAGCCGCGGCUAACUACGUG
rnacentral:rRNA from 1 species